rnacentral:rRNA from 1 species
UCAUUAAAUCGGUUGGAAUCUACACGAGAGUGUAUUUAGAUGGAUAACCACGGAAAAUCUGCGGCUAAUACAUGCAGGAAAGCUCCGCAAGGAGUAGCAUUUAUCAGCUUGAGAUGGAUGCUGGGGUAACUCAGCUUGGUGAGUCAUGAUAAAGAUGCUGAUCGCAUGAGCUUGUUCUCGGCGACAGUUCGUUCGACCUUCCGCCCUAUCAACUUUGGAUGGUAGUGUAGUGGACUACCAUGGUGUUUACGGGUGACGGAGAAUUAGGGUUCGGUUCCGGAGAGGGAGCCUGAGAGAUGGCUACUACUUCCAAGGAAGGCAGCAGGCGCGAAAAUUGCCAAACCAACUAAGUUGGAGGCAGUGACAAUAAAUAUCUGCGGGUUCUAUGAAUCCGACUGGAAUGAGAUGGAUGUAAACAAUCCUGCGAGUAUCAAUUGGAGGAAAAGUCUGGUGCCAGCACCCGCGGUAAUUCCAGCUCCAAGAGCGUAUAUUCAAGUUGCUGCAGUUAAAAAGCUCGUAGUUGGGUGGGGGAUGAAAGGUAGAAGGAGAAGGGGAACCGGAUCUGAAAACUUUUUAUCCAUUUAUGGAGAGUAGCUUGAUGAAUGACCUUAAUUGGUUGUUUAUUAUAGCCUCUCCCGUUGACCGUGCUUAAAUUCGCGUGUUCAAAGCAAGCAAAUUUCGCUUGAAGAGUCUAGCAUGGGAUCAUAAAAUAUGAAGUUUACUCAAUUGUCUAUCUCUUGAGUAUGACUUAAUGACAAAUAGGGGCAAGCGGGGGCGGAGGGAUUCCGUUGUUAGAGGUGAAAUUCUUAGACCAACGGAGGACCAACAGAAGCCAAAGCGUCCGUCAAGGGUGUACCCAUUGAUCAAGAACGAAAGUUAGGGGAUCAAAUACGAUCAGACACCGUAGUAGUCCUAACCUUAAACGAUACCGACCGGGGAUGGGGAGAGGUAAUACUCUUAACCCUUCCUGUACCCUGCGAGAAAUCAAGAGUGCUUGGGUU